rnacentral:rRNA from 1 species
GGGGAAUAUUGCACAAUGGGCGAAAGCCUGAUGCAGCGAUGCCGCGUGAGGGAAGAAGGUCUUCGGAUUGUAAACCUCUGUUUUCAGGGACGAUAAUGACGGUACCUGAGGAGGAAGCUCCGGCUAACUACGUGCCAGCAGCCGCGGUAAUACGUAGGGAGCGAGCGUUGUCCGGAAUUACUGGGUGUAAAGGGAGUGUAGGCGGGAAAACAAGUCAGAUGUGAAAACUAUGGGCUCAACCUGUAGACUGCAUUUGAAAGUAUUUUGCGUGAGUGAAGUAGAGGUAAGCGGAAUUCCUAGUGUAGCGGUGAAAUGCGUAGAUAUUAGGAGUAACAUCAGUGGCGAAGGCGGCUUACUGGGCUUUUACUGACGCUGAGGCUCGAAAGCGUGGGGAGCAAAC